UAUUUAAAUCAGAUGAGGGGAUCUUUUGCAAGCAUUUCUUUUCAUUUUGCUAUUGCAAUAAUUACUGAAAAAUGCAGAGCCAAGGUAUAUUCGUGCAAAAACAUGAAUAUUCUGGAGUAUUUUCAAAAUGAGACUCAUUUUAGCUAAUGAAUACUUAUUAGUGGGUUUACAAUUUUGUCAAGUUAUUAGAGCUUUAUUAUGCCAGCAAUACACUAGAUCAUUUACCUACACUACCUGCAAAAGGUUUUUUUAUUAGAUUUUAGGCAAGAAUAAUGAGUUUUCUAUUAAGUUAUGGUAAGGUUGAGUAUGAGAAAAUUUAGUCCUUGGGAAAAAUGCCAUAUUCACAUUUUUACAUGGAAAAUGCAAUUUUUUGUUUUGUUAUGUAUGUACAUUUAUGGCCCGUAUCUGUUCACAUGAAAUAAUUGCUUAGAAUAAUCAUUUAUGCAAAUUGAUGUGGUCUGAUGCCAAGUUUAGGAUGGGUAGGGAGCUGUAAUGCAAGUGUUUAUUCCUUGAGCGGGACGGCUUCAAUUAAUGAUCUGUUUUUAUUUACUUGAUGAUAAUGUAAAAAGUGAGUUACAUAAUGCUAUAGGGGUUGAGUAAAGGGGAAAGGAGUUAUAUUACAAUGAGGUGGAUGCUUGGUAAAGGUUGAUGGUGCUAAAAUUUCUUGUAGAUUUGAACAAGAUACUUAAAUGAGCUUACAUUUCUUCAAAUUGUGAAUGGUUUAUGGAUGCAUCAAAGGGAAUACCCACAACAAUUGAUCAGCAUCAAAGGGAAUACCCACAACAAUACAUCAAGAUAUUACCUGAAAUACACUAAUAAGCAAACACUAUUUGGUUGGAAGAUAGAAAAAUCAAUUCCAAGUGCAGUACAUAAGUCCCGAUUGGCCUUUAUAUUAAGAAACUCAAUUGCAGAACUAUGUUAACAAAAUGGCACUUCUCACAUGUGCAGAAACAUCUCAUCAGAGGUUGUUUUCAUUAGCUCAACCUAAGCUUUUGCCUUUCUUGGAUUUCUUCUGGAGUUGGAAGCAAAAAUGGCCACCUGUGAAGAACAACUGGUGAGACAAAACGUGGUUAAAGUUUUGCCCAAGACAAGGAUUCUCAAAUAUUAGAUUCUAAACACCUGCUUGAAAUAGUAUCUUAUCGUAUUUUGGCAGCAAGUCUUGAUCAAAGCAUGUAAGCAGUGAAGCAAAUCAGAUGGUAGAUUGUUUAGCUAAUGUAUAGGAUGCUAACAACAGGAUAUCUUUUAUUAUGAUGUUAUGCCCCACCAUCUUUUAGUUGCAAGAUGACUGUUUGGGGAUUUUAUUCUCAUUUUGUAUGAUUGUAUAUUAUUUUAAA